rnacentral:rRNA from 1 species
GACGAACGCUGGCGGCGUGCUUAAUACAUGCAAGUAGAACGCUGACGGAGGAUCUUGCUCUUCUGGAUGAGUUGCGAACGGGUGAGUAACGCGUAGGUAACCUGCCUGGUAGCGGGGGAUAACUAUUGGAAACGAUAGCUAAUACCGCAUAAAAUUGAUUGUUGCAUGAUAGUCAAUUAAAAGGUGCAAUUGCAUCACUACCAGAUGGAACUGCUUUGUUUUAGCUAGAUGGUGCGGUAACGGCUCACCAAGGCAGCGAUACAGAGCCGACGCGGGGGGGAGGUCGGCCAACCUGGGACGUGGGCCCGGCCCAGGACCCUUCGGGAGGCCACCAGAGGGAAUCUUUGGCCAUGGGCGGAAGGCCGACCGCGCAACGCCGCGGGAGGGAAGAAGGGUCUCGGGUCGUAAAGCUCGGUUGUAAGGGAAGAACGAGUGUGAGAGUGGAACGUUCACACUGUGACGGUACCUGACCAGAAAGCGCCGGCUAACUACGUG